rnacentral:rRNA from 1 species
CAAUAGCGUAUAUUAAAGUUGUUGCAGUUAAAAAGCUCGUAGUUGGAUUUCUGUUGAGAACGACCGGUCCGCCCCCCGGGUGAGUAUCUGGCUCGGUCUUGGCAUCCUCUUGGGAAACGUAUCUGCACUUCACUGUGUGGUGCGGUACCCAGGACUUUUACUUUGAGGAAAUUAGAGUGUUUCAAGCAGGCAAUUGCCUUGAAUACAUUAGCAUGGAAUAAUAAGAUAGGACUUCGGUUCAAUUUUGUUGGUUUCUUGGGCUGAAGUAAUGAUUAAUAGGGAUAGUUGGGGGCAUUCGUAUUUAACUGUCAGAGGUGAAAUUCUUGGAUUUGUUAAAGACGAACUACUGCGAAAGCAUUUGCCAAGGAUGUUUUCAUUGA